UUGUAAUCAUAAAAUCUUGUUUAAACCAGAAGACCACAACACAUCCAACUUUUAUCCCCCUUUUGAUAUUAUCAAAAAUAAGAAAAAAAAUGGUACCAAACAACCAUAUAAAUAAGCAUAGAUACAUUCAUAGCAUUCAUAAAGAUCAUGUAUUAAUACAAAUGACAGUACAAACGUAUUUUUAAGAUGAAAAACUCAAAAAAUACAAAGACAAAACAAAAGUUAUACAAGCUAAGCAUCAUGAUUUUCAUAAAUAUUCUCCAUAACCGGUCAUUUCUAGUUGUUCUAUCAUAUAUCAGAGGACUUACCUUUCGUUAGGAGCAUCAACAAAACCAACACCCAUCUCAUGUCUUAAAUCG
rnacentral:lncRNA from 1 species